UACGUAGGGUGCGAGCGUUGUCCGGAAUUAUUGGGCGUAAAGAGCUUGUAGGCGGUUUGUCGCGUCUGCUGUGAAAAUCCGGGGCUCAACCCCGGACUUGCAGUGGGUACGGGCAGACUGGAGUGUGGUAGGGGAGACUGGAAUUCCUGGUGUAGCGGUGGAAUGCGCAGAUAUCGGGAAGAACACCCGUGGCGAAGGCGGUUCUCUGGGACGGUACUGACGCUGAGGCGCGAAAGCGUGGGGAGCGAACAGG
rnacentral:rRNA from 1 species